GCUUUCGAUUAAAUUAAAACUUAUCAAAAUCGGUACAUCCAGUAGAAAGUUAUGCGGUAUAAUACAACGUAGGUCGACGAAAAAAGCGUCAAGUAAAAACGCAUUAUUAGAUAUAAUUCGAAAAGUAGUUGUUAGAUCUCAAAUAAAUUUAAAUGGGACCAAUCGGCACACACCACCUUUCGAUUAAGACAAAAUUUGUCGAAAUCGGUCUACCUGGUCAAAAGUUCUGAUGUAACAUACAUAAAA
rnacentral:misc_RNA from 1 species